GUGGGACAACACAGCUUCUGGAUGUUGAGUCUCAUUAUGUUCUGAGUAGGUGGGACAACACAGCUUCUGGAUGUUGAGUCUCAUUAUGUUCUGAGUAGGUGGGACAACACAGCUUCUGGAUGUUGAGUCUCAUUAUGUUCUCAGUAGGUGGGACAACACAGCUUCUGGAUGUUGAGUCUCAUUAUGGUCUGAGUAGGUGGGACGACACAGCUUCUGGAUGUUGAGUCUCAUUAUGGUCUGAGUAGGUGUGGACGACACAGCUUCUGGAUGUUGAGUCUCAUUAUGGUCUGAGUAGGUGGGACAACACAGCUUCUGGAUGUUGAGUCUCAUUAUGGUCUGAGUAGGUAGGACAACACAGCUUCUGGAUGUUGAGUCUCAUUAUGGUCUGAGUAGGUGGGACGACACAGUUUUAUUCUAACAGACAAACAGGCAGGAACAUUAAAUAUAUGUUUAUGUUUGUAAAGUAAUGUUAUGCUAAUAUAGAGACUCGCCCAGCCUCUUUUUGUCACCUGAU
rnacentral:lncRNA from 1 species